rnacentral:piRNA from 1 species
UCUUACAAUUAUGCUGUGUGAUUAAGGUC